UCACCACUCCCCUUUCUCUCAAUUCUCUCCACCUAUCCCUAGUUCUAACGUGCUAUCACCGGCGUAAACCUUCUCCUUAUAAAGCUCUAUGGCUUCUCCGGCCAGUCUUGGCCUUCUAUGUGCCAUGGCUCUUUGAUUUCGUAAAAUCUUGAGACAAUCUCAAGGUAACCCCAACGGUUCUGGUUGAAUCUUUGCUCAGUAUCCUGUCUCAGGCCAUUUUCUCGACUGUGAGUAAGAGAUUUCUCUUUAUUUUAUAACAAAUCUAUGGUUUCUAAGCCUAUUAUAUCAUCUUUGCUAUUUUUCUAAAAAACUCUAGUCA
rnacentral:lncRNA from 1 species